AAUACAGAGGGGAAGAGCGAGUGGAGAGAGAAAGAGAGAGAAAGCAGGGAAGGGGAGAGAGAAAGAAGGAAGGGUGAGGGACAGGCCCGAGCCUGUCAGCGGCCUGAGGGGAAUGAGUGGCCAUGGUGGUGGUGGCAGUGAGAAGGCGCCUGGUCAACUGCUGCUGCUGCUGCUCCUGUGGGGAGGAGCAGGAGUGGGGUUCAGGCAAGGGUGGAGAGAUCUCUGGGGAUAGGGGGCUGCAGCUUGGCCAAUAGAUGCCAGCAACGCUGCAGCCACAACCAAGAGGGGUGAGGGGGAUGGACUAAAGUCAUGGAGGAGUGACCAAGAGGGGUGUGGGAGAUGGAAGCAACCGGAUGGAGGAGGAAGAGCAGGAGUACAGCUCAGAUUCUGGGCUGAUUCAGAUGAACACAACCCAUCUCAUGUGUUAAGGUGCAGCAUGCCAGGUGGACAAUCUUGACACCAUUUCUAGAGUGUGACAAAGAGAGAGAUAUCAGGAAUUGUUUUAUAUGUGUGUUGGGAUUCCUGUAAGUUAAAUGCACUAACCAGUGCUGACCUCCAUGAUGAAAAACAUCUGAUACUGAGUGCAGAAAUAUUGGUACGCCACCAGAUGUACAGGUAUGCUCCAUGUAAAUGAAAUUUAUUCUUGAGUUGUGAUAUUUGAGAGUGUUUCACAGGGCUUUAAAAUUACAAGUUGAAUGCAUAGCAAAAGCAAACAAAAUUAUGCCAGCUUGUUCAGCAGAAGGGAUGAUGCUAAUUUUCAGUUUUGCUCGAUGAAAAACUUUUAGGCAUGUAGAAGAAUAUGGAACUAUGGAACUUGUGAAGAUUCUAAUUCUGGAGACAGAGACAACAAGAAGGGCCCACAGUUUGCUUGUGCGAACAUCUUUUUUAUGAUCUGUUGGAAACCUAUGGGGGAGUGGUUUUAUUUCUUACUCAUGCAAUAUCACUAACAGACAGUUUUAUUAACUUUUGCAGAACGUUGAUAACUUUUGCAGAAUCCUUUUGCAGAAUCCUGAAGUCAAAAAGUUCUUUUGGAGGGACAGAGAGCAGUAAUAAUCGCUCCCCUCCCCCUCUUCCCAUAUUUCCCUGCCCGACAACAGGCUGCGCAGAGCUAUGAUGCUGAGUCUUCCAUUGAUAUGGCUCCUGUUAUGUAGUUCUAACACUAUGCAGAGUGUCAGACUUUAUCAUUGCAGAUAUUCUACAACCUUUGAUUCACUUAGCCUUACCAAGUGUAUAGUAUAGGAGAAAAGCAAGUAUUCCAGUUUUACAGAUGAAAAAAUGAGACCCAAUGAUAAUUAUUAACCAACGCUGUCCAAAGAGGAAACUGACAAAAGCUGAAACCAGAUGCACACUUCCAGGUACAUUUACCUGGAAGUAAGACCCUGUGAACACUGUGGAUGACAUACUGCACAAUAUUCUAUCUGGCUUCUAACAGAAC